rnacentral:lncRNA from 1 species
UUUGGGCAUGUCAACAGACGCCGAACGGAAAACACCUCCCCUGUUCGCUCAAGGCUCAACACAAUAUCAACAUGUAUAUAAUUUUGCGCAAGCGGAAAACAUACAUAUACAUGGCUUGCACGAAGGCAAGCAACAACCAAAGUGAAAGUUCUACAACUAUUUCAUACAUACAAAUAUCAUAAUUACUUUUAACCACAUACAAGCAUAAUACAACUACUCACAUUCUUUUCUUUCAUUUAUACAUCACAUGUCCUCAAAACAUAAACCCUUUAUGCGUUUACAUCAUUUAUACAACUAUACAACUAUGUUCAUCAUAUACAAA